rnacentral:rRNA from 1 species
UUGACCUCGGAUCANGUAGGGAUACCCGCUGAACUUA